rnacentral:rRNA from 1 species
AUUGAACGCUGGCGGCAGGCCUAACACAUGCAAGUCGAGCGAGAGGCGGACGGGUGAGUAAUGUCUGGGAAACUGCCUGAUGGAGGGGGGUAACUACUGGAAACGGUAGCUAAUACCGCAUACCAUCGGCGGUGCCCAGAUGGGAUUAGCUAGUAGGUGGGGUAAAGGCUCACCUAGGCGACGAUCCCUAGCUGGUCUGAGAGGAGGACCAGCCACACUGGAACGGAGAAACGGCCCAGACUCCUACGGGAGGCAGCAGUGGGGAAUUUUGCACAAUGGGGGAAAGCCUGAUGCAGCCAUGUCGCGUGUAUGAAGAAGGCCUUCGGGUUGUAAAGUACUUUCAGCGGGGAGGCGUUACCCGCAGAAGAAGCACCGGCUAACUCCGUGCCAGCAGCCGCGGUAAUAC